AGACUUACCUGGCAGGAGAGGUGCCAUGAUCACAAAGGCAGUUUUCCCAGGGCGAGGCUUCUCCCUUGCACUCCGGAUGCACCAACUCCAGCAAUUUCGCCAGAUGCAGGAAACUGCAUAAUUUGUGGUGGGGGGAAUGACAGUGACGACGACUUGUUCAAGCCUUCCCCU